AGGGGAUGAGAGAGAUGAGGAAAUGAAGAAAUGACGGGAUGAGAGAUGAGGAAACGCAGCUCCAGCCCAAACCCCUUGAUCAGUCGAGCAGUUCAUGCAGCACUCCACUCUCCAAAGGAGAAAAGGUGACACUACAGCUCCCAGACUGACAGAAUUAACACCAUGUACCCUUCAUUCCGUGAAUCUUCCUCUGUGUGCUUCAUCUCCUGACAAAGUAAUUCCUCACAGCAAUUCUAAUGCUACUUCUUACACUUUGUUCUUUGAUUACUCUUAAUUUCUGACACUGAGUGAUGUUGCUAGGACAAAAAGGGAUGAUAAUUUGUGCUUGGCAGUACCUGUGUUGCAAAGUUUUGUAAAAAAAAAUAAUAUUGCCAGGUGGGUCAAAUCAGAAAUAAUGGUGUAGCAAAAGCAAAAUGCUUCUGGGAAUGUUUUGUGAGGCUGCUGGACAGCAUGCUCAAACCAUUCAAUUUGUGCUAUAACACAAAGUUUCUUUCUUUUUCUGUGCUAAUAUGUAAUAAGAACUAAAAAUAAGAUAUUCUGCAUUUUUCUGCUGUGUUUGUUCAGGAGACUCAGUAGCCAAAAUUCUGUCCAUUGAUAGAACUUGGUAAGUAGACAGUUACUCCUUCAAAAUUGUUAACAAACCCUAUUUUCCAGUAAUCACUGUAAUACCACUCUUCUUUUGUGAGGUACACAAGAAGUGUUAUUUUUCCUCUUGCUGGCAGAAAAGGAAGAAUAAAGUGACCUGUUGAAGACUGUGGUCACUGCUGGGCUGGUGAAUGGAGAUGAAUUUUGUCAACUCGUACUGACAACUCUGUGCCUUCACCUGUUGAGCUCUUGGGCCCUGUGACUGUGCUGAAAGUUCAAAAGGGAAUAAACUGAGAGGUCUAAAGAAUUCUUCUGCCUAAGGAGGCUGAUCCAGAUGAAGAUUGAGAGAGAAAUUCCUCACAGGUUGGACUUCACAUUUGAUGUCCCAGCACUGACUGCACACAACACCCUGCACACCAGGGAUGUAUGGGAUCUAUAAGUUCGACCCCAGGAUUUCUGAGGAGCACCAUUCCAAGAUUUAGACCAUGAAAUCCUCCUCUGGCUGCUCAGAUCCCAGGAGGAAAUGCCAGCUACACACCUAGCAGUGGAGCUUUUGGCACGCUGGAGACACGCCAGAGCUGUGGGAACGCCUCCUGAUGGCAGCUGGGUGGAA